UCCAGACUCCUACGGGAGGCAGCAGUGAGGAAUAUUGGUCAAUGGACGCAAGUCUGAACCAGCCAAGUAGCGUGCAGGAUGACGGCCCUCCGGGUUGUAAACUGCUUUUAGUUGGGAAUAAAAGGGGGCUCGUGAGCCCCGUAUUGUAUGUACCAUCAGAAAAAGGACCGGCUAAUUCCGUGCCAGCAGCCGCAGUAAUACGUAGGUGGCAAGCGUUGUCCGGAUUUACUGGGUGUAAAGGGCGUGCAGCCGGGCCGACAAGUCAGAUGUGAAAUCCCGCGGCUCAACCGCGGAACUGCAUUUGAAACUGUCAGUCUUGAGUACCGGAGAGGUCAUCGGAAUUCCUUGUGUAGCGGUGAAAUGCGUAGAUAUAAGGAAGAACACCAGUGGCGAAGGCGGAUUACUGGACGGCAACUGACGCUGAGGCUCGAAAGCGUGGGGAGCAAACAGGAUUAGAUACCCCGGUA
rnacentral:rRNA from 1 species